UACGAAGGGGGCUAGCGUUGUUCGGAUUUACUGGGCGUAAAGCGCACGUAGGCGGUUUGUUAAGUCAGGGGUGAAAUCCCACAGCUCAACUGUGGAACUGCCUUUGAUACCGGCAGCUAGAGUCCGGAAGAGGUAAGUGGAACUCCUAGUGUAGAGGUGGAAUUCGUAGAUAUUAGGAAGAACACCAGUGGCGAAGGCGGCUUACUGGUCCGGAACUGACGCUGAGGUGCGAAAGCGUGGGGAGCAAACAGG
rnacentral:rRNA from 1 species